rnacentral:tRNA from 1 species
AAUUAAUGAACUUGUAUAAGUAUAUGUUUUGAAAACAUAAUAAAGAAAUAAUACCUUCUAUUAAUUU